UACGAAGGGGUCUAGCGUUGUUCGGAAUCACUGGGCGUAAAGCGCACGUAGGCGGAUGUGCCAGUCAGGGGUGAAAUCCCGGAGCUCAACUCCGGAACUGCCUCUGAUACAGCACGUCUUGAGUUCGAGAGAGGUGGGUGGAAUUCCUAGUGUAGAGGUGAAAUUCGUAGAUAUUAGGAAGAACACCGGUGGCGAAGGCGGCCCACUGGCUCGAUACUGACGCUGAGGUGCGAAAGCGUGGGGAGCAAACAGG
rnacentral:rRNA from 1 species